AAGCUAUCCACCGUGGAUUGAAAAGCUGAAACAUCAGGUGACAUGUUUUCACUUCAACAGUCUGCUGGCCAGUUUCUAAGUUAAGCACAGGGAAGAGAAUGAAAAAAAGAAUCAAAGGAAUGACCCUUUGCAUCUGUUUAGCUGGCCAUGACUAGGUAUUUCUUUUAUCCAUAAAUUCCCAGGGGUCACAGCUUUUACACUAUGAGCAUC
rnacentral:lncRNA from 1 species